UUUUAACAAACACCAGUUGUUGUAUUUAUUUGUAUUUUUGGCUUUGUUCUUACUGCAGCUGUAGAUCAUUUGGACCACCUAUCAUUCUAAUAAUGAAUGGCUACUAAUAGCUUUCAGAUAUAGUGGUUUGGCAUAUUCUUGGGCAGUGAUCGCCGCCUCAGGGUCAAUCAAUACUGUCAGGGAUGACUGGCCUUCGUAUCAUUAUGAUCCAGUGAGAGAGAGAGAGAGAGAUGCAUCUUCACGCAACGGGAAGAUAUGAAAUUGAGCAUUGGGAUGCAGUUGCAAGAGGCAGUGUUCCUUUUAGGGGAUUGGUGGGUGAUCCUCAUUUGUCUGCGCCACCUCCUUUCUGGAAUGGUGAUGAAGGGAUUGGUGGGAACAGGUCUAUGGAGAAGUGAGCCCAUCCCAACCAUCUUAGUAAUCCAUGGAGCUAAGCAAAGCAGCAAGUCUCGAGUGACUCAUCAGUCUCAAUGCAUUCUUAAGGCUUUGAGUUCUGAUCCAUGGGAAAAAGGUUUUACAUGCUUCAUUCACCAUGGUAGCUGCAGCUGCAGUGAUCAAUGUGCAUGUUUGCCUCCACUCCAAUAUGUUGAGUUAAAAAUCUGGCAUCCACAAGUUCUCGAACGAAUCUCGAAGGAGUCGAUCAAGUCUCCUGCGUGCAUCUCGAAGCUGGAUCCAAGUCCGAAUGAACAUGCUAUGAAGGUAUUCAACUCGGCCGGGACUCCCUUCUCCGAUCAUGCCUGCUAUUUCAUUGCGUUUUUGUGCUCCUUUCUCCGGUGCUGAAUUGUUGCGGCCUUUCCUUACUCCGCAGGCCUCAUUUCACUGAAGCAAAAAGCAGACUCUUUCGUUGAAGGAUGACGAAGACUGAUCCGGAUUUUCUAGUUGGAGGAUCAAAAGGAAAUUUGAAAGGAAGCUGGCAUAUGCUUGCCUGGUGACGAAAAGAAGAACGGGAAAUGACUGGCCUUCAGAAGUGUCGAAGCACCCGUCAGAACAAAGAAACCUAACACGUGCAACUUCAUUGGCAAAGUGUCGAAGCACCCGUCAGAAAAAGAAAAGGAAUGAAUUAUUUGCCAGAUUAGCGAGUUUGACAACAUUGUUUUUUUUUCUUCGUUUACUUAUUAAUAAAAAAGGAGUGAAUUAUUCAGUUCUUUGUGCAGUCGUAGUCGUAUGUGCAAAUGUAAAUAAGUUUAUAAGAAAUUGAUGACUCCAUUUGUGACACGGACAUUUAACACUAACAUCACAAUUUUAGGAAUUUCAGAUAUCAAAAUCAAAGCACUCAAUGCUUUUGUGUAUGCAUGUGUGUGACACUGUGAAACCAAAAACUUGUUAGUAUCUGAUGGCUUAUGUGAAGUAUCCCAAUCGAUACAAAUACACACGUAUGUAUGAAUGUAUAUACAUAUACAUAUAAAAUCAAACUUGGAUUUAG